rnacentral:sRNA from 1 species
UUGUUAGUGUUUUGGAGUCAAAUAUGACUAGAUGUCAUGUGUAUGAUUGAGUAUAAGAACUAGAACCGCAACCGUUUCCCAAAAGCUAAAGUAGUGUUUCCUUGUUAGAAGCUACAAAGCCAAAGACUCAUACGGACUUCGGCUACACCAUCAAAGUUUUGAGAAGCAAUAAGAAGCUUGGUUAGUAUUUUGGAGUAAA